CGACCAUUUAUAAUUUGUAUGUGCCACCGCUCUCCUCUGCCAGCACACAGAGAGACCCAAAGAUGGAGGGAAACUCUGUCUUAUAGAGCAAUGGUUGAAUAAGCAGACUGGCCACCUCUUUAUAAUGUUUAUCAGGAAGACAUGCAAACACUUGGAGUGAAGUAAAACAGAAUUAUGAUGUUUAUUUGUACUUGAACAGAAAUGUUGUGUAUUGGUUUUAAUAAAAUUACAGGCUUUGCUUUAACAGUGAAUGAUUCUUAAACUGGAGUUUCUUGAAAAAUAUUGUUCCCUCACAAAGGAAUAUUAACAGACUUUUCAAACAUUAGAGACCUCUUACCAGAGGCUCCAAACUCAAACAUUCUAUCUCUUUAGAGGCUCAUUACAGUUCUUAACACUUCUCCAUGAAGGCGAAUCACUUUUUCCUCAAAGAGUUUUCUCUCAAAUAGUUCCCAAAACCUUCCUUUCUUCCUUCUUAAAAUUCUCUUCCUGUCUCUAUAAACUCUAAACCCUGUCUAACAAUUCUUUGGCUGCAUAGCUCUGUCUCUUUGGCUCCGCCCAUCCCCCUCCAAUUUUACCAACCAAUAAGGCUGCACUUCCCCACUUGAAACUUCCUGAUGACUCCUCCCUCUUCUUGGUUUAGCUUUUCCAAGAGAGGCCUUGAACUUCCUCUGCACACCAACCCUGCAAGAUCUCCAUUACCAGAUGAACUGCAAGCAAGAGUAGUAAAGAAAUGUGCAGACGUAAUUUCAGAUCUACUGUCAAUAAUCUGAACAAAUUCUUGGAAAAUAGGACAGAAAUGUUGUUCCCAUCAUCAAAAGGAGAAGGGGAAAAGUCAUCUUGAUGUCAAUAGAAAGAAAGUUUCCAAAAGAAACAGUCAGUUUAAAGACUCUUGGGGUGAACUGCAGUGAUUAAUAAACUCUGGCAUGAGUUUACCAGAAACAAGUCAUGCCACAUUACUCUGGUUUCUUUUUUGAUAGAGCUACAAGAUUGGUAAAUUAGGAGAAAAUGUUGCUGUUGUCAUAUAACCUAAUUUCAGUAAGGAUUUAAUGACCUCCCUGUCCUCAGCCCAAUGAUAUUCUUGCAGACAAGCUCGGGAAAGACUAAUGCAGAGGUGGUCCAACCAUAAGAUCAACUAGGCACUUGCCUGUGGCGCCAUCGACCCGGGGGCACCAUCGUCCUGGGAGGAUGGCACCACCCCCGCCUCCUUCUUCUUCAGGCCUUCAGGCGGCCUCCCGGCAGCUGUGCUGGGCCUCCUGGUGGCUGCGCUGGGCCUUCCAGCCGGCACGGACCCACCUUCGU
rnacentral:lncRNA from 11 species